AGUGCUCGCAAGAGAGCCGGAACACAGGUGCUGCAUGGCUGUCGUCAGCUCGUGUCGUGAGAUGUUGGGUUAAGUCCCGCAACGAGCGCAACCCUUGUCAUUAGUUGCUACAUUCAGUUGGGCACUCUAAUGAGACUGCCGGUGACGAAGCCGGAGGAAGUGGGGAUGACGUCAAGUCCUCAUGGCCCUUAUAGGUGGGGCUACACACGUCAUACAAUGGCUGGUACAAAGGGUUGCCAACCGCGAGGGGGAGCCAAUCCCAUAAAGCCAGUCGUAGUCCGGAUCGUAGUCUGCAACUCGACUACGUGAAGUCGGAAUCGCUAGUAAUCGUGGAUCAGAAUGUCACGGUGAAUACGUUCCCGGGUCUU
rnacentral:rRNA from 1 species